rnacentral:rRNA from 1 species
AUUGAACGCUGGCGGCAUGCCUUACACAUGCAAGUUGAACGGUAACAGGUCUUCGGAUGCUGACGAGUGGCGAACGGGUGAGUAAUACAUCGGAACGUGCCUAGUAGUGGGGGAUAACUACUCGAAAGAGUGGCUAAUACCGCAUGAGAUCUACGGAUGAAAGCAGGGGAUCGCAAGACCUUGUGCUACUCGAGCGGCCGAUGGCAGAUUAGGUAGUUGGUGGGAUAAAAGCUUACCAAGCCGACGAUCUGUAGCUGGUCUGAGAGGACGAUCAGCCACACUGGGACUGAGACACGGCCCAGACUCCUACGGGAGGCAGCAGUGGGGAAUUUUGGACAAUGGGCGAAAGCCUGAUCCAGCAAUGCCGCGUGCAGGAUGAAGGCCUUCGGGUUGUAAACUGCUUUUGUACGGAACGAAAAGCCCCGGGUUAAUACCCUGGGGUCAUGACGGUACCGUAAGGAUAAGCACCGGCUAACUACGUGCCAGCAGCCGCGGUAA